UCACACAAGAAGUCUGGAGAUGAUAAAGGCAGGUAUUAGUUUUCUACUGCUGCUAGAACAAAUUACCACAGACUCAGUGGAUUAAAACAAAUCAAGUUUAUUUUAUAGUUAAGUAAGACUAAGUCCAGUGUAGGUCUCAUCAGGUUAAAAUAAAGGUGGCAUUUGAACUGUGUUCCUGUCUCAGGCUCUGGGGGAGGAUCUCUUCACUUGUUGGCAAAAUUUACUUGCAGACUGAGCACUAACAUCCUAUUUCCUUUCUAGCUGUUUGCUGAAUGCUGCUCCCAGGUUCUAGAAGUUACCAGCAUUCCUUGAGUCAUAACACCUUUCCUCCAUCUUGAAAGCCAGGGAAAACAGGCUGAAUCCCUCUGAAAUUUUUCCUGUCUCCUCUCUGACCCAUUCUGCCUUCCUCUUACAUUUCUAAGAGCUCAUAUCUCGAAACUGCGCUCACGCAGAUUUAAGAAGUGAUAGAUGGAAUGGAGAUAAGAAGUGGAAAUUAGUGUCCUUUUGGAGAUACUUGCUUUUGCUGAGCCCAUAGACAUAUUAACUCCUCCAAGGUAUAAAUACUCAAGAAGCAAUUCACAAAGUGUGAUCCGAAAACUUCUGGGAGUCCUUAAGAGCAUUUCAAGGUGUCAGCAGGUCCUCUUUUCCACCUACAUAUCUGUGAGGUCAUAUUAUCUUCAUAUUCUUCAACCAAAACAACAAAAACUGCAGAAGACUAAAUGCAGAAGCAGGAACUUGUAUUUAAGGCCAGAAAAUACAGAAACAGAUCAACUUAAGAAGAUGAACAAGCAACACGUGUUUGGGUAUAAAAUUAUAUCGGAAAAUUAAGUAAGCUUGUUAUGAAUUUGUCAAAUUGACACAUAUUAACUGGAGCACGGGGUGCUGGAUGGUGAACCAAGGCUCAACAACAGACCACAAGAAGAACUGAAGAGAAAUUUGUUACAGGUCCUGGAGGAAGUACUGGACACACCUCAAGGGACUACACAGGAGAUGAAGGCAGAGUGAAGACGCAGAGGCAGGACCUGGGCACAUGCCUUUAUUAAGGUACCAAGCAAGAAGGAAAGACAAGGAAGUAAAAAGAACUCUAAAAACCACCAACAAUUUUAAUUUGGAUAUCUUCAAUGUAAUUAACACAGGAUGCCUAUUCCAGAUAUAAACAGAGAGAUGAUUGCCUGACCAAAGUUCUGGAAAGCAGAUGUGUUGCUCGAAGGGUACAAAAUGUGGAUGUGUAUUGUGCUACCAGGCUGUCAAAGAUGAAGAGAUCAAUCAAUAGAACUCCAAACCGAGUGCAUUCUCUGUGUGGCAGAAGAAAAUUACAUACAAAAGGAGUUAGGGAAUUGUUGUAAAAGCACAGGAAUGAGAUUAGUAUCUAAUCUAUUACGGCUGUGAGACUUUUAAAAACAUAUUAGGGAAAUACAAAGGCAUAAUCAGAUGACUAAAGAUAAUGACAUACAAUUUUCAAGGGAGUUAAACACAUGAAACUCUUGGAAGAGAAAAAAUAAUAAUAAAGAGCUCCUUAUUUAA